GACGAACGCUGGCGGCGUGCUUAACACAUGCAAGUCGAACGGUGAAGCGCCUUCCUUUUUGGUGGGUGUGGAUGAGUGGCGAACGGGUGAGUAAUACGUGAGUAACCUGCCCCCUUCUUCUGGAUAACCGCAUGAAAGUGUGGCUAAUACGGGAUAUUCUGGGUCUGUCGCAUGAUGGGUCUGGGAAAGAUAUUGUUUCGGUGGGGGAUGGGCUCGCGGCCUAUCAGCUUGUUGGUGGGGUGAUGGCCUACCAAGGCGGUGACGGGUAGCCGGCCUGAGAGGGUGGACGGUCACACUGGGACUGAGACACGGCCCAGACUCCUACGGGAGGCAGCAGGGGGGAAUAUUGCACAAUGGGCGCAAGCCUGAUGCAGCGACGCCGCGUGAGGGAUGGAGGCCUUCGGGUUGUGAACCUCUUUCGCCAGUGAAGCAGGCCUGCCUCGUUUGUGGGUGGGUUGACGGUAGCUGGAUAAGAAGCGCCGGCUAACUACGUG
rnacentral:rRNA from 1 species